GGAGGCGGCGACGCCCCCCCCGACUUGAGGCUGGCGAGCAUGCCAGUCUGCCGUCUCCGCACCCCUUUUCUCGAUGAUGCACACCUGGGCGGGCCGCAAAGGCCCGCCC
rnacentral:sRNA from 1 species